UGACUGAAACACACUGCUGAGGGGAGCAGUAGGCAGGUCAGGAGAGGUCUGCUGUGCCAUGUGGGUAGCUCCCUGGCCGGGGAUCGAACUCAUGCUGUAGUGGCUAUAGAUAGCUUCAUAGGUUGUGUCUUAACCCCUUGCGCCAUUAGAGAGGCCCCCGUUAAGAAAAUAUUUCUCAUUGACGUGUGUAAGGCAAACUGUAAGUGAUCCUUCUGAGUUAAACUGUCUUAUAGACAUAAGUUUAUUGACACACAUGACACUGUAUUGGCAUUUAUUUGACCCUUCUCUGAUUUUCUUCUUUAGACUUAAUAUUUAAAUAUUACCCAAAUCUCCAUGGAGUACAGAAACAGAAGAUACAAUUUUUGAAAGUGGAGAGUAUGCUUACUAGUAAUGUAACUAUGCAGAGGCAGAUCCUGAGUUCUGAGUUCCUGAAUUAAGGAUUCAAGUGCAAGUAGGUUUUUUUGGAAGUGAUUUCAGGAAACACAGUAGGAGCUUGGGAAAGUGAGACAGGGAAUGGAAGGAAGGCAAUGAUGGGUGAAUUACCAAACAAGUUUUCACUAAUAUAUUUAAUUCUGAAAGAAAUCUGGAACAAACUGAAGCAGGAAAUUAUCUUUAUGCCUCAGUCAUGUUUGUCCUCUUUCCACCAAGAAGUCUCAGGUGAACAGUAGAGAAUAGGAAACAAUGUACUCAUUAAAGUUUAUGAAGGAAAGGAAAUAAAGAGACCUUAAGGGCAUAUGUUAAAAUUGUAUCACCUCUUUUAAGUUUUGUGUGGCUAUGUGACCAGAAUCACCUCCAAAUAAGAGUCUUUGAGAGCUCAAAGGACAUUCUUGAACUUCUAAUCCCAGGCAUGAAGGAACUGUCAGCUUCAACUUGCUGCCUCCUGGAACUCAGCCUCCAUGAUGUAAGGAACAAAGGGCGAAUGGAGGAACUACAAAAGUGAGAACUGAAGUACACUACCUACAUCAAGCACUAAUUGAGAUGAGGAACCAACCCUAUCUAUAUCUGGCUAAUACAGAUGAAAAAAUUUCUUGGAUAUGAGCUGAUGCCAUAAUGGAUUGGAGGUCUUUGGAAGUGCUGGGAAUGCAAAAUGGUUGACAAACAUGAAAUAACUGCAUUCUACGUAUUCACCUCUUUUGAAAUUAAUCCAUGGACACGAAGAAACAUGUUAUAGACCAGCAUUGUCCAACAGCUGCUCAACCUCAACAGGCUGCAGGAGGAACUGGUCCAGGAUUUCAGGGUCACCACGGUGGAGGAAGGUGGACACCUCCGCAAUGUACAGCUGUGGGAAGAGAGCCGACGCAGAGACCUAGAGUAGCCAUCCGCCGGAAGUGAGGUGGACGCCAUGAGGCCCUCGCUGGCCAAUCGCUGCGUGCCAGGUGAGGGCUGGGAGCCAUACGAGGUCUCACCUGUGAGGACUACUUGAGCACUGGGUGGCUGAAGUAGCCAACAGCUACUUCAGAGAUGAAGAGGGUAACUUAGGCCCCGAGCAGUCCUGACACUGUUUCUCCACAGAAUAAACUUUCAAACUUAACCGCAGCAGGCCGGAGGGUGUGCUUCUCCGAGCAUCUCCUACGCUGAGACUACUUGGAUUCUCAUAGACACUCAGUGUCCUUAUGAUGAGUAAUCUCAUCUUCAUGGUGUUCCCUCAAGGCUGCCAGUUCUUCUUUAGUCUUCUCUCCCAAGUAUUGAUACUCUUCAGCCUUCUUGUGAAAGCCCUACCAGCCUCCUGGACCCAGCCCCCUCUGGAGUUGAUAUUAUGGACCAUUUUGACCUGAAGCCUUGGACUUGCGUGGUCUUCAUACCCCACAGUGGAGCCUCAUCACUGUCCCCAAAGCCCUGAUGGCCGCUGUUCCAGUGUAGCACCUCUCAGACAUUCUGGAUGAUGGAUCUACUUCAGAUAUUCAUCUAUGGUCACCUACCACACCAGUAAUCUGUUUGGCAAGUGCUACCUUCAAUCUGAUAAACAUUUUUUACCAAAUGCUGUAUAAUCUGUGCAAGGCCAGACUUGGAUGGGAGUAAGUAAGGGAGGAGACAUUUGCCAGGCAGAUAAAUGGGGAUGGAGAGGAUCCAUUUACUCAUGAUUAGAGAGUUUAAUACCAAACAGAAUGACUGAUAUUGGAAAAGACAAGAAAGGAUUUAAUGGACCUGUGUGCCAGGCAAUGUAACAGUGACUGGAACAUACCAUUCAAGCAGAGGAAAUGAUCCAAGGCUGGCACAAAGAAGCUCUCCAGGGUUAAUCUGAAGGAAGUUCUGAGAGCCAUAUAGAAGACUCCAUCAACGAUGGAAUAACAUGUCCAGUUCAGUGGAAUUCUUGAUAUGCUGUGUCUUUGAGGUAUGUCUUUGUUUUCAUCUCUGUGUCCCAAACCUGUAAGAGGAGUGAAGAAAGAUUGAUCCAUAAAGAGGACUAAAUAUGCUGCUGAACAGAGGCAGUACCAACCGCCUCAACAUGGACAACCCGUAUUAUCUUCUCAGAAAGAUCUUGCCAGGAAAUUGAAAAGUAAAAUAGGAAACAUAAUGUUCUGAUAAAAAACAACAGGGCUUCUUGUGCUGAGGUCUGACAAAAGAGGCAUACUCAGCAACUCUGUUAGCUGCUAGUUUGGUGUAUGUUAUUGAUUUUAUUUCUAAAUCAAUUGUACUUAAAAUAAAACAACAAACAUGAUGGAACAUAUCCAAGGCUUUUCUGAUGGCAUGGAUAUUCAAAUAUUUAUAUGUACAUAAUUUUGAAAAAGUAAAGGGUUCCAGGAGAAACCCUUAAAGAGAUGAUAGACAGUGGAUAAAUGAUUCUUACAACUGCUCUUCAGGGUCCCUCUUCAGACUACUGUUUCUUCCUGGCCUUAUGAAAGGUGUUUGGUUGCAGCAUAUCACAUGCACUCAUCUGUAAAUCAGGUCUGAUGUUUUUUCAUCCUAUGGACUUGUCAGAAGGAACUCUUCCAGAAGCCAUCAGUGUAAGAUGAAGGCAAUCUCCAAAUAUUUCCAUUGUCCUUGUUAAAUAUGGACAGGACUACACACGGGAAAAUAUGGAAGCAGGGGUGAGAAAUUUGCUUCCAAAACAGAAAAACAUGGCCUUUGUCCCUGAGAACUGCA